GAUGAACGCUGGCGGCGUGCCUAAUACAUGCAAGUCGAGCGAACAGAUAAGGAGCUUGCUCCUUUGACGUUAGCGGCGGACGGGUGAGUAACACGUGGGUAACCUACCUAUAAGACUGGAAUAACUCCGGGAAACCGGGGCUAAUGCCGGAUAACAUUUAGAACCGCAUGGUUCUAAAGUGAAAGAUGGUUUUGCUAUCACUUAUAGAUGGACCCGCGCCGUAUUAGCUAGUUGGUAAGGUAACGGCUUACCAAGGCAACGAUACUUAGCCGACCUGAGAGGGUGAUCGGCCACACUGGAACUGAGACACGGUCCAGACUCCUACGGGAGGCAGCAGUAGGGAAUCUUCCGCAAUGGGCGAAAGCCUGACGGAGCAACGCCGCGUGAGUGAUGAAGGUCUUCGGAUCGUAAAACUCUGUUAUUAGGGAAGAACAAAUGUGUAAGUAACUGUGCACGUCUUGACGGUACCUAAUCAGAAAGCCACGGCUAACUACGUG
rnacentral:rRNA from 1 species